CCGCGUUUUUGAGUGAGUGUGGACGACGCUGGAUCUUCUCACCGGCUGCCAUGAUCGAACAAACAGCAGAAAUUAAGAUCAAGGAGGAGCAUCACAACAGUUUCGUUGAAGUAGACAUUCUAGUAUAAGCUUGAUGAGUACACACCAGGUUUUGCAGCUAAUGCAUGCCAAAGGAGGAGCAGCUAGUUGCAAGAUGCAUCCUCUGCUGGACAGUUUAAAUACACAGAACAUUGAGGAAAAAAGAGAUGCUGUUGUCUGCUGCCUCAGUAACUACCUUGGGGAAAGACAAGAAGAUAUGUUCCAUGACUGGCAGGUAUGUCAUAUUGAUAACAGAUUCUUAAUCAACUCAAGUGAUCCUCCUCUUAUAUCCCCCUUCUCCUUUUGUCUUCUUCUCUCCUCUGCUCUCCUUUAGAUAAACUGAAAUAUAUUGAAACAGAAUCUUAAAAUAAAAUUGUGUUUGCUUUUUGUUUGUUUCAUUUUAAUGUAGGAAUGUGAGGAGUACACAGAAAAAACGAUGAAGGAGAUUGUGGAGCACAAUUUGUCUAUUGUGAUCGGGGGAAAACAAGUGAUGGAAGAAUGGGGAAGCCAAACAGAGGCAUGCAUACUGCUGGGACUCAUAUUUUUUUCUCUUCAAUCAUUUGCUUCACACACAGACAAAGACCCAUCCACUGUCUCUCAGCCCUCUCCAUUGCUCUGUGUUUUCCCCAAUAUUUCCUAUACAGAAAAGGAAUACUAAUGGAAAGUGGCCUAAAGAAUUUUGAUCUCACCUACCGUCUUUUCUUCCCCAUUGGUUUAUUUAUUUUAUUCUCAUCCUAUCUGCGAGAGUGAGAGUAAGGACAAAAAAUAAAGAAUUUUGUUUUACUUUUAUCCGGAUAUUUGAUACUGUACAUGCACAAAA
rnacentral:lncRNA from 1 species